GGAGGGGUGCGUGAGCGGAUGAAACGAGCGGUCUCGAAAACCGCUAGAGCCCGCAAGGGUUCUCGGGAGUUCGAAUCUCCCCCCCUCCG
rnacentral:tRNA from 1 species